UACGGAGGGGGCUAGCGUUGUUCGGAAUCACUGGGCGUAAAGCGCACGCAGGCGGAUUGAUAAGUCAGGGGUGAAAUCCCGGGGCUCAACCUCGGAAUUGCCUUUGAUACUGUCUGUCUUGAGUUCGGGAGAGGUUGGCGGAAUUCCUAGUGUAGGGGUGAAAUUCGUAGAUAUUAGGAAGAACACCAGUGGCGAAGGCGGCCAACUGGCCCGAUACUGACGCUCAUGUGCGAAAGCGUGGGGAGCAAACAGG
rnacentral:rRNA from 1 species